CACAGAACAUUUAAGGCUUACAACACUGGGACUAGGAAGCGUCGAAGGAUAAACACUGACGAUGCUGAUGUCCGUUGGCACAAGACAGGCAAGACAAAGCCAGUACUAGUUGAUGGAAAACACCUUGGUUGUAAGAAAAUAAUGGUGCUUUAUAUAAGCCCGUUGAAGGGUGGAAAGGCUGAGAAGACCAAUUGGGUGAUCCACCAGUACCACCUAGGCGCUGGAGAGGAUGAGAGAGAUGGUGAAUAUGUUGUCUCCAAACUAUUUUUUCAGCAACAGUUUAAACCUGGGGACAAGAAUGCUCAAGAGCUAACUACAUCCGAUGAUCUGGAAUCAAUGGCUGCUGAAUCAAAUCUCCCAGAUUUUACUACAUUGCCCACUGACAAACAUGUUGGUACAGUCCAAGAAGUUGUUCAUAAUCCUGAGCAUAAUCUUUACCAGGUAACUGAAUAUUCUCUUGUGUUCAUUAUCUAUAUUUUCUAUGUGGCCCACAUUUGUAGGUGAUAGGUAAGUUGAACCAGAAAAUAUAACAUAUACUGCUAACUUAUUUUUUGAUAAUUGAAAAUAGAAUUUAGAAAUACAUUUGUUUUUCCUAAUGUGCAACUUAAUAGAAACUGUGAAAUAAGCAUUGAAGAGACUGUUGUCCUCCCACCCUCUGUAAAAACAAUAAAGGACGGAGAUAAUCUCCAAUCACAAGAUCAGAAGUUGUGGGAAGGCGAUUCCUAGUUUGAAUUGUUAGACUCGCAGCAGCUGGCAGAAGGACUCGCUCUCUGUGACGAGUUCCUCCUGAGUCAGUCUCAAACCUCUUGUGGAGGUGGAGAUGAACCUAGAGAGACCAAACCUUGCCUGGCUGCUUAUGCCCAUCUGUCAGCAGAGGACUUCAAGAAGAGGUGGCGGGCAAAAACAACAGCUGUGUCAGGUGGCGAAGACGAAGAAGAGGUGGCGGGCAGAAGCCGAAUGGUGUAGAGGGGGCCGGUGCUGUCACAUCGGAGGAGGGGGCGCCGAGUUGCCGAGUCCUUCACAGUAAGACCAGAAGAGUCAAACUCAACAGAACAAGAAUUAUCAGUAGUAAACCGACGAAUAGAAAGUAGAUUGUGGACCAAAGGAGCGACAAGAACAUCGGGCAUGCGAAAAGAGCCGGGAGGGCCGGCGGCACCCACAGAUGUGACAGGGAGACACGAGCCAUUCGCCACCAUGACGGACGAAGGGAGAGAGGAAGGAGGAGGGCGCACAGAGGUGAGUAUACCAGGGUCCGGAGUGGUGUGGUAGGUAGCACCAGUGUCCGCGAUCCACUCAGGAGCCAACGGUGGAGUCAGAGUGGGAGUCUGGAAGGGGCAGCCAGGGCGGUCGCGUCCCAACUAACCAGCCCAGACGGUGGAGUAGCCGGCGAUGGAGUAGCGGGCGGCGUGGGCCACGAUGAAGCGGCAGGCGACGGAGUCCAAGGCGAUGGAGAGGCGGCGGCGAGGUGAACCCCGGCUGUGCACUAGCGAACAUGGCCACCGGGGGACGAGCCGCAGAAACAGGCCCCUGGAACGGCCACAUGGAGAUGCGCCCUGACCACGGGUGGUGAAAAGUGGGCCAAGGCGCACCCUGUUGGGGUCCCGGUGUCGAAGCGCUGCCACGGGCACCACCGCCGGGACCAGCACCAACAUCACCACCACAGCGCCGACGACCACCACCACCUCCACCUCCGCCACCGUGACCCCCGCCGCCCAUGUUCGGCCCGGGGGAACGAUGGCCUGACAGAGUAGGAGGACGGGUCGGGGUGAGAGCCGCCAGAGCUGUCGAGGAGGACGAGGACCUCGGGCCGGAGAUCAAGGUAGCCUGAGCACCCAGAGUGAUCUCCUUCAGGGCGAGGUCGUCACGGACCUAGAGGAAGGUAGGGAAGGGGCGCUGGCUCAUGAUCAACGACCGGAGAUGGGUGUAGCGAUCACUGAGGCCGCGGAGGACGUUGAGGACUAGGUUGCGGUCCUCCACGGGGCAGCCCAGAUCGCCAAGUGAGUCCGCCAUGGUCUUCAUCGUGCGGCAGUACUCACUGACGCUGAGGUCCCCCUGGACGAAGGUGCGGAAGGCUGCGUCAAGACGGAGAGCCCGGGCCUCGGCGUUACCCAGAAACUGGCCCUCGAUGGCAAGCCAAACAACCCGAGCGUGAGGAAUGUUCCGGAAAAGGUUGUGGAGGUCAACGGAGAUCGUCCCCACGAUCCAGGUAAGCACGAUGCUGUCGAGGCGCACCCACGCGGCGGUCGGCGCCACACCGGCGGGGUCGCAGAUAGGGCUGGGCAUUCGGUCUAUUAGGGUAAUUCGGUUCGGUCUAUUCGGUUUUGUGAAAUUUCGGGUUCUGAAAAAUGAGAACCGAAAUUUUCAAAAAUAUUUUAGGAACCGAACCCGAAUAGACUCACAAUUUCGGUUCGGUCUAUUCGGUCCACCGAAUAGACCCGAAUUGUAGAGAGACUAGUAUAUUUUGUUAAAAUAUAUACAAUGAAUAAUUAAUUGAAAGUACUAUUACUAAAACAAGUGACUAUAAAAAUUAGCAUACAAAGAUAUAUAUAUUAUCGUUAAGAUGAUAUCAUUAUUUCUAGCUAAUAAGUUCAUAAAUCAUAUAAUAAUACCAUCAUAUAUUAAGAGCUUUUUUAUAUUUCGGGUUAUUAGGUCUAUUUGGGUUUUAAAGGUUAGGAACAGAACCCGAACACAUAUCCCAAAAUUUAGCACAUAUAGGAACCGAACCGAACCCGAAAACCCGAAUAGACCAACAAUUCGGUCUAUUCGGGUUCGGUUCGGGUUCGGAUUCGGUUUUCGGUUUUAAAAUGCCCACCCCUAGUCGCAGAGAACGUGGUCAUCCAGAGCGUAACAGCGAAGGGUGAGGAGGAGUAAGUCCCGCUAGCGUGCGUAGGACGACGACUCUGGCUCCAGGACGACAGGAACCAUGAGGCGAAUGUUCUGGACACUCCCAGCCUGAAGGUGGAGCUGAGCCACGAGCGGGUCAGUCGGGUCAUGCCACAACACCGUGGGGAUGGUGCGGGGUCCGGUGCCGACGGUCGGUGCGGGCGGGACGCCAUACACUCCGCCCACGGUGUUAGAGGAGGCGACCCCGCCGUCGUGGGUCGCAGGCGAGGAGCUGUUCCGCCGCGGCAAUCUGAGCAGCGAUAGCAUCAGCGGCCUCGCGUUCGCGCUCCCACACGAGAGCGGCUUCCCGCAAACGGGCCUGUCGCGCCGCGUGCUCCGCACGGGAAGCAGUCAGGGCGGCGACGGUGGAUCCCUGGUGGGCGACCGGUGGAGGGGGAGGCGGCGGAUCAACGACAGGCGACGAGGGGAUUGGCGGGGGAGGGUCCUCCGGACCGGCAACCCCCGCAGGAGGGGCAUCUGCCACAGCCGCAAGGACCGAUGCGGUGCCCGUCGCGGUGAGGGACCCUCCGGCGGCAAUGGGCCCUGCCCCCACGGCGGCCUAAGCACAGCAGCAGCGGCAGGAGGGACGGCGGCGGGUCGACCAAGAGACGCGGCCCGUACCCAGGAAGAGAGGGGAGGGAACUCGGCAUCCAUGGGAGGAGGGAAGACCCGGGCGCGCUGGCGGCGCUCGGGGGCGUCUGGUCGGGCGGGACAGAGGCAGGGCGUGCGGGGGCGCGCACCUGGGCGCUCCUGGCAGGCGCGGCGCGGCUCCUGGCGGCGCUCGCCUGGGACAGAGGAAGGGCGGGGCCGGGCGAGCAGAGCGGCGCUCUAGCGGCGCUCCCCUGUGCGCGGCGAGGCAGAGGCAGGGUGGGGCCCCCCAAGGCAGGGCGAGGCGGGCAGAGCGGCGCGCCGGGGCGCUCCGGGUGGGUGCGGCCCCUGGCGGGCGCGGCAGCGGGCGCUGGCGGCGCCCCUGGGCGCGACGACGGCAGCAGGGAAGGGAGGUGGCGGCUGCAUAGGGAAGGGAGGUGGAACCCCUGGCUCGAUACCAUGUCUCAGGUAACUGAUAGAUACAUGAGGCUAACCCUAAUGGGUAGCUAUAUAGUGAUGUACAUGGGCCACAUGGGCCUAGACACAUGGCAUAUACUCUAACACCACUUUCCAUUAGAUAUGUCAUUUCCAUUUCUCUGUAAUUAAGCAUGGUUAGGAAUAAAUAAAAAAUGAUGUAUAGCAAUUGCCAAAGAUAAACAAUUUGCAUAUCUUAAGGAGUUCUUCAACUUGUUUAUAAAACUGGAAUAAAUGUCUAUGGUUAUAAACUUAUAAUUAUAUUUGUCACUUUAACUGCCUUACUUUUGAGCCAUCUCAUGGUCAACUUAUAUGUUAAUAGACCUAUUGUAUUUCUGAAAUGCUUUGACUUUUGCAGUUACAGUAUGGGGCUUUUGCUGUGAAUAUCCCUUUUAAAGGUUCUAUUAAAGUGUGGUCAGCUGCAAAGUCUGAAAGGUUCCGUUAAAGUGUGAUCAGCUCAUGACUGUUUUCUUGCUGUAGGUUGUUCACCAGUGGCCCGGUUUGCCUAAAGGUGUAAAAUUUGAUCCUUCUGACCAGGAAUUAAUCUGGCACUUAAUGGCAAAACAUGGAAAAUCUGGAAUAAAACCUCAUCCGUUCAUUGAUGAAUUCAUUCCAACAGUUGAGGAAGAUGAAGGCAUCUGUUACACUCAUCCACAAAAACUUCCAGGUACUUAUAUCUUCUUUCUGAAAGAUUAUGCGAUUUUCAGGAUUAAGGUUCUUAAGUAAAAGCUUUUAUUUCAGAUAAUAUCAAAUUUGAAAUUCUGCAGUUUACAGCUACUGUCAAGUGCUUAUCUUUGUUAGUAAUUUGUUGUCCCGUGGGACUCUUUUUUGUUGAUCACACCCUAUGACCUGCAUUUAGCCUAGUAAAACUUCAGGCAGGGCAAAUUACUUAUUUUACUUUUCAUUUAUGGCUAGUUUCAUUUCACCCUCAAACCCCUCCAAUUCCGGAGGGUAUUUGAGUUUCCAAACUAGCCCUUAAUUUUUUCACCUCGUCGCUAUGCAACAAUUGUCGACCUGUACAACUCUUGAAUUGUUACCGCCUUCUUUGAAACAGACAUUUCACAUUCUGGUUGGAACACUUUUGCUUUGAUACUCCACUUGUUUUUCAACACUCAGGAGUCUUCUCUGUCCAUUUCAGGUGUUAAACAAAAUGGAAGUGUAUCACAUUUCUUCCACAGAACAUUUAAGGCUUACAACACUGGGACUAGGAAGCGUCGAAGGAUAAACACUGACGAUGCUGAUGUCCGUUGGCACAAGACAGGCAAGACAAAGCCAGUACUAGUUGAUGGAAAACACCUUGGUUGUAAGAAAAUAAUGGUGCUUUAUAUAAGCCCGUUGAAGGGUGGAAAGGCUGAGAAGACCAAUUGGGUGAUCCACCAGUACCACCUAGGCACUGGAGAGGAUGAGAGAGAUGGUGAAUAUGUUGUCUCCAAAAUAUUUUUUCAGCAACAGUUUAAACCUAGGGACAAGAAUGCUCAAGAGCUAACUACAUCCGAUGAUCUGGAAUCAAUGGCUGCUGAAUCAAAUCUCCCAGAUUUUACUA
rnacentral:lncRNA from 1 species